AUGCAAAAUAUACAUCGUGGUAUCAAAAAGAAGAAGAAAUGGCGAAGAGUUUGGAGCUUACCAACAGGGCCGAGACUGGCCCUGGUCGAAGUAGGAGUUGGAGAAGAGGAUGAUAGAAACCCAGAGAAUUUUCCACACCCAGGUGAUGCCAAUGUAUGCUGGCAUGAAGAUAACUGGAUAUGGAAGCAAGAUGAUGAAGGAAAACUGAAGCAGUUCAGGAAGAAAUAG